rnacentral:lncRNA from 1 species
GGAUUUCACUCAAAACUCACGAAAUGACUCCUCCCACCAUUUUAUAAUGUUCCCCAAGUUUUGGGAUCAAUCCGAUAUAGAUUGGUCAAUGAAAUUGGACAAUUCCGGUUCUUACGAAGUUCGUUCUGAAAAUGGAGUGGUUGAUGUAUUGCAUAGUUUUAGAGAUUGGAUUUCACUGAAAGAGCACCAAAUCACUCCUCCCCCAAUCU